UUAAUGUAAAUUUACAAUUUAUAAAAAGUUGAAUCCUUAACAGCACUGAAUUCUAAUGACACAAAUAUUACUUGACACGGAACGCAAUUAUUUGAUGUAAAUCUACAUCACAUAUGAUGUAAAUAAAAAGAAGCAUAACAUAUGACGGAAUAUUCAGUGCGAAUUAAAUAUAAAACGUCUGAAAAUUUUACACGUCUUAUUUUUUACAUCACAAUAUAGAAUGGUGUAAUGAAACGUAAAAUUAAGUUUAAUGUAAAUUCAAUAAGCGAUUGAAAAAUACUCUAAAUUCAAAAUCAAUCUUGAAAUCAUCUGUGAUCAUCAAAAACAUCUAUCAUGUUUAGUAAAAAAAAAUGCUUUAAGCACAGACUUAAUAGUCUGUGCUUUAAGUGUUAAAAAUGAGUUUUUUCAGUGUUCGUUAUACCGUGAUUAAAGCAUUUAUUUCGUGAUUUAAGCAUCUGAUUCAUUUACACCGUACAAAGUUACACCGAAGGAGAAAAUACGCCGUCAAAAAUUCAAACCAACAACAAGUGUAAACAAAGUCGAUCGAAAUUCCAACCCGUUGGAAAUUCGGAAAUAUCGCGUUCAUGAAACCGUCGGCCCGAACACCGCCGCGGAGCCGGAGACAUCGACUAUUCAGUUUUUGCUAAAUAUGAAGUAAGUUAGAGUAUAAUGAUUACGAUUAUGAAAUUUAAUGCAUUGUAUUCUUUCAAUUCCGUUCCAGGAAUCAAAAUUUGCGGGUUUUCAUGCCAUCGACCCACUUUUUCCGGAGGAACCAAGAUCAUUUGGAAGACACUUCUGUACCGGUUGGAGUUCAUGUUAUUGAUUGAAUUUCGGUUCUGCGAUGAACAUGAAACGUUUGGGUGUGAGCAAAUCCGAAAAGCCGCGUGAUAAACCGAGGCUUCCUUGAAGGACCAAAGGUGAAAAUAUAAAAAUGUUGCAACAAAUUUAUUGUCAUUCGGGGUGGCAGGUUGUGUUCAGAUUCCAGUAAAGCCCAUGCGAUGCGAUUCGGUUCCUGUCGAGAAAAAAAACCCUGCAAUUUGCCAAAGCAACUUGACCUAAUCGGAAAUCAAAAUGUAUCUGCGGAGAUGUCGUUCAGUUCUGUCCGGUCUGUGUGGCGCAAGAGUCGCAUAUGCUAUUUUCCCACAUCUGUCGAAAACCGAAGUCGGCCCCUGGAAUCACCACGCCCGUCAAUCACCACAAAGCAACCAAGUGGGCAAUGUAUGUGCUAGUUUUUCAUUUACAUCGAACGCACCCAGCAAGAAACCAAAAUAAGGAACGUCUACAUCCGUUCAUCAGUCUUAUUCGGCUUGAUUCCAUUUUAAAUUGGAAUUUGGAAAAUUAUUAAUUAAUUGUUACGCGAGAACAUUGCCAUAAUGAAAAAUAAAUUAUUUUCACUUGAAAUAAUCUACCUUUUCUUAAUACAAACGAGGAAAGAA